ACGCUGGCGGCACGCCUAAUACAUGCAAGUCGAACGAAGUAGCAAUACUUAGUGGCAGACGGGUGAGUAACAUGUGGGUAUCUUCCCUUUGGUGAGGAAUAACACGAGGAAACUUGUGCUAAUACCUCAUAAGUCUUUACGGAGAAAGCUUUAUGCGCCAUUGGAUGAGCCUGCACUUGAUUAGUUUGUUGGUGGGGUAAUGGCCUACCAAGACUGUGAUCAAUAGCUGAUUUGAGAGGAUGAUCAGCCACAUUGGGACUGAGACACGGCCCAAACUCCUACGGGAGGCAGCAGUAGGGAAUCUUGCACAAUGGAGGAAACUCUGAUGCAGCGAUGCCGCGUGAGUGAAGAAGGCCUUUGGGUUGUAAAGCUCUUUCGUCGGGGAAGAAAAUGACUGUACCCGAAUAAGAAGGUCCGGCUAACUUCGUGCCAGCAGCCGCGGUAAUACGAAGGGACCUAGCGUAGUUCGGAAUUACUGGGCUUAAAGAGUUCGUAGGUGGUUAAAAUAGUUGGUGGUGAAAUCCCAGAGCUUAACUCUGGAACUGCCAUCAAAACUUUUUAGCUAGAGUAUGAUAGAGGAAAGCAGAAUUUCUAGUGUAGAGGUGAAAUUCGUAGAUAUUAGAAAGAAUACCAAUUGCGAAGGCAGCUUUCUGGAUCAUUACUGACACUGAGGAACGAAAGCAUGGGUAGCGAAGAGGAUUAGAUACCCUCGUAGUCCAUGCCGUAAACGAUGUGUGUUAGACGUUGGAAAUUUAUUUUCAGUGUCGCAGCGAAAGCGAUAAACACACCGCCUGGGGAGUACGACCGCAAGCUAAUGAUAG
rnacentral:rRNA from 1 species